rnacentral:rRNA from 1 species
CAGUCGCCGCGGGAAUACGUAGGGUGCAAGCGUUAAUCGGAAUUACUGGGCGUAAAGCGUGCGCAGGCGGUUUGUUAAGGCAGAUGUGAAAUCCCCGGGCUCAACCUGGGAACUGCAUUUGUGACUGGCAGGCUAGAGUAUGGCAGAGGGGGGUGGAAUUCCGCGUGUAGCAGUGAAAUGCGUAGAUAUGCGGAGGAACACCGAUGGCGAAGGCAGCCCCCUGGGCCAAUACUGACGCUCAUGCACGAAAGCGUGGGGAGCAAACAGGAUUAGAUACCCGUGUAGUCCCUGUCUCUUAUAC